rnacentral:rRNA from 1 species
UACGUAGGUGGCAAGCGUUAUCCGGAAUUAUUGGGCGUAAAGCGCGCGUAGGCGGUUUCUUAAGUCUGAUGUGAAAGCCCACGGCUCAACCGUGGAGGGUCAUUGGAAACUGGGAGACUUGAGUGCAGAAGAGGAAAGUGGAAUUCCAUGUGUAGCGGUGAAAUGCGCAGAGAUAUGGAGGAACACCAGUGGCGAAGGCGACUUUCUGGUCUGUAACUGACGCUGAUGUGCGAAAGCGUGGGGAUCAAAC